AGAUUGAACGCUGGCGGCAGGCCUAACACAUGCAAGUCGAGCGGUAGAGAGGUGCUUGCAUCUCUUGAGAGCGGCGGACGGGUGAGUAAUGCCUAGGAAUCUGCCUAGUGGUGGGGGAUAACGUUCGGAAACGGACGCUAAUACCGCAUACGUCCUACGGGAGAAAGGCGGGGGACCUUCGGGCCUCGCGCCAUUAGAUGAGCCUAGGUCGGAUUAGCUAGUUGGUGAGGUAAUGGCUCACCAAGGCGACGAUCCGUAACUGGUCUGAGAGGAUGAUC
rnacentral:rRNA from 1 species